rnacentral:lncRNA from 1 species
AUCAUAUUUAGAUUCUAGUAUAGGGUUAAUUAGUAUUAAUUAAUGAGAUUAAUUAAUAAUUCUGCUGUAAAAUAGUAAUUUUGAAAAAGUUUUAAAAUUACCAUUUUGCCCCUAUACUGAAUUUUCGCUUCACUUCCAUCGUCUAUUCAUGGAUGGAAGAAUCAAUUCUUUUUUGUUUCUUCUUCUCUUCGCUGGGGCUUUCCUUCAUGCUGGGGUGAUCCAAGGAUCGGCCCCAACGAGAAUAAUUGGAUGGAGGUCGAUGAUCGGAAGGAUUUUCACCGACUAAAGGACAUGACAGUUCUACUGUAGAGAGAGCUGAUGACCGAACAAGCUCUCUACGAUGUCGGGCUUAGUUCGGUCAUCUUCUUAGGUAUAGCAUAGUUGAUCACUUUUAUUUUUACUUUUUUAUUUUUGAAUUGUACUAACUUUUUUUUUGUUCUGAUUGUAGCUAUAUAGCCGAGGACAUGAGUAUCGGCUG